rnacentral:rRNA from 1 species
AUUGAACGCUGGCGGCAUGCCUAACACAUGCAAGUCGAACGGCAGCACAGUGUGUAGCAAUACACAUGGGUGGCGAGUGGCGGACGGGUGAGUAAUGCGUAGGAAUCUGCCCUCAAGUGGGGGAUAGCCCGGAGAAAUCCGGAUUAAUACCGCAUGUGCUCCACGGAGCAAAGCGGGCCUCUGUUUCAAGCUCGCGCUUGGGGAUGAGCCUACGUCGGAUUAGCUAGUUGGUAGGGUAAAGGCCUACCAAGGCGACGAUCCGUAGCUGGUCUGAGAGGAUGACCAGCCACACUGGGACUGAGACACGGCCCAGACUCCUACGGGAGGCU